rnacentral:lncRNA from 1 species
ACACAUUGGAAUAUAUUGUAAGUUGUUAUAUUAUUAUAAUUAUACAGGAUUUACGUAUUUAUAAGCUAACGAACUGUAAAUAGAUCUUCAAUUUUAUGCAUCAGUUGAUCUAUUCAGAGCAAAGUACUAUAAGAGUAAACAUGUCCACACCUGAUUUCUAAUAACACCUUUAUGCUCCACCAGUUGGAAACAGUAAAGCGAAAUUUGAAAAUGUGCAUUGUUUGCAUUUACACUAUACUCACAUGUAAAUUGAGAAUAUUUGCAUGAAUGUUUGUUAUUUAUCAAUAUUAUCGUUUUUCUACCUGUUUGGUAUUUAUUAUUAUCAUUUUUUUGUGCAUUGCACGUCUCUACUUGAAUUCGUGUCUUAUCUGAGUUACCCUGCUUUGCUUCUCUCCUGCGUGCCUUAUCUCCCCCAGUUUGCUUGUCCUACUAUUUAUAUACACAAGCAUACAUGUGACAAGUCGUUAGCCACAUCUCUCCAUCCACUUUCUGGUUUAUCUUUCAUCUCCAUGUUUUAACAUUUCUCUUGGAUGUUUUUAACAACUUUGUCUUUCUUAUAUACAUUUAUACAGUAUUAGUUUCCAGUUUCGAUACAGAUAUUCUUUUCCAAACUGUAAAAUUCAAUUAUAUUUAAUUUCUGUUAUACUGAAGUUAUUCAUCUAUUAUAUUUUGCUAAGAUUGAAUCCAAAUGUGUGU